UAAAAAAAAUAAAAAUAAACCAUACAAGUUUCAAAUACAAAAGACCCAAACUGAAGAAAAUGCUCCGAAGAAACCCAAUCAACAUGCCAAAGAUUGAAUAAGAAAAUAGUUUCUUUGAAAAAAUCUGCCGUUUGUGGAGUAAGAUUUUCUGCAAGUUUUUUUUACUUUAUUAGUGGUUCUGGAACCACUAAUUGGUGAUAUUGGAGUUGUUAAUUUGAAUAUCAAAUUCAAGUCAAUUAUAGAAAAAGAAUAGUGGGAAAAUUUUCCUUUUACAUUAGCAAGGUGGAAUUUCAGUGACCUGUGCGCG
rnacentral:misc_RNA from 1 species